UACGUAGGGUGCAAGCGUUGUCCGGAAUUAUUGGGCGUAAAGAGCUCGUAGGCGGUCUGUCGCGUCUGCUGUGAAAACUCGGGGCUUAACCCCGGGCCUGCAGUGGGUACGGGCAGACUAGAGUGCGGUAGGGGAGACUGGAAUUCCUGGUGUAGCGGUGAAAUGCGCAGAUAUCAGGAGGAACACCGGUGGCGAAGGCGGGUCUCUGGGCCGUAACUGGACGCUGGAGGAGCGAAAGCAUGGGGAGCGAACAGG
rnacentral:rRNA from 1 species